CCCAGACAUUCAAAGUCGAUUUAAAAUAUCUUUAAACACGUCAAAUAUUAGUUAAAGAUCAAAACUAUUGUUUCAAGUCGUUUGUAUAUCAAAGCAUCAUACGCAUUGCUAAUAUGUUCUAUUUCUAGGUAUUAUAGUCCAAAGACUCGAAGAACUUUAUCCACCAAUAUUAUAUUCAUUACUUUUAGAUGGAGAACAACAUAAACGCAC
rnacentral:lncRNA from 1 species